AGACAUGAACUUGUGGGUACAUUUGAGCCAUUGGAGGCUGCUGUUGCACCGUGGACAUUGUUGAUGCAGGAACGUUGGCUGUAUGAGUGGUUAAGGCCUGAAGUCAUAAAAGGUAACAAAUAUUAAUUGAAGCCAUAAUGCAAUAUAAUAUAAUGCCUAAAGAAGUGUUCUUUUACGCACAUCACUUACCAACUUUUAAAAAGCUAAGUGCCAAAAAAGGGAAGUGUUCUUCAAAACACCACAAGGAGGAGAACAAGUAAAAUACAAACACCGCGGCAAUUGUUUUCCCAAAUAACACAGUUUGCAAGGACAAUUUCAACCAGCACGUACACUAUGUACUUUUGCAGAACCAAUUCGACAACUGCUCCUAACCCAUUCACAUCAAUAUAUAAAAAACUGGUUGUGUGCACUUUUGCAAGCAUGCAUGUUAACAUGUGGGAGGGAUAUAGGCAUGCUACUUUGCACAUCUAAAAAACAUUAUAGCAGGUAAAUUUACCUCUUGUGGAGAUGGUAGACCCUGACCUCGUACUGUCUCGUCAAUUUGGGGACGGAAGUAUGAUAUAUCAUAACCAGUCUGGGGAUCAUAUGCCUGCUUGCACACAAUCACAUCAGAAUUUCAAACAAAAAUGUGCAAAAGACCCAUGUAAUGAGACUUUAUUUUAUUUUUUUAUUUGAAAUGAAAUGAAAGCUUUGUCACCACUCAAGCAACUUGGUAAGCAUUCAUUUUAAGUUGGCAUAAAACAUUUCAUUAAUCCAAGUGAACUCACCGAAAAACUUGGUAACUCAGGAUGAUCUUGCUGCUGCUGUGACUCUGAAGGAGCAUAGGAUGGACUGCUGUUUCGAACCAAACCAAUAUCAGCAUAAUUAUCCAAGUUUGGAGGACUUGAUGAGUUCACA
rnacentral:lncRNA from 1 species